rnacentral:lncRNA from 1 species
CGGCGCGCAGGCUCGGUGAAGCGCAGUACGCGCGGACCGCGGGGAACGUUUCCUAGCAACUGGGGGAGGUGCGACGUCAUGGUGGCGGGUUCCGACAGCCGCUGCCACUGUAGAACCGCCGAGUGCACCUUCGAGUCCUUGCGGUUGGAGGUAGCGCUACUCGCUGCCCUGUGUCCGCACGUUUUCGUCUUCCCAUACAGUCUUAUCCCGCUCCUGAUCGCUGAGAACAACCUCUUGCGCGCCUCCGCCCCUGAGGCCCGGACCGGUGGAGGUCCCCGGCCUCGGUGGGACGAUGCUGGAGUCCAUUCGCGUGACGGAAAAGCUUCACUGGCCUGAGCAAGAACUCGCUAAGAAGUCUAUUCUAAAUGCAGAAGAUUCAUUGAUCAUUGACAGCAAAAGAAGCCUUUCACAUUUACCUGCUGGAAUACUAAAGGACAUUUUCACAACUGGAACCAGUAGUUACAAUGUCCUACUACAAAGCAAGGAGGAGAGAAAGCAUCAUUUACAAAAACAGUCUUCGUCCACCUACUCCAAAAGAUGUAGAAAACCCAGCAAAUCUCCUAGCUCCCCUCAUAGUAAAGAUCCUUGCAGGACGAAAACCCCAGUGCCUGUGGCAAGCACUGGUACUUGGUACUGCCUGGAGAGGCAGCCUACUAUUUUUGUCACUAAGUCAGUGUCAAGUCCUGUAAAGUUUACACAUGAUAUCUCUGUUACAGGGAACAGCCUAAUACUGCCACCUAAACCAAAAAGCAAGGUCAAGCGACGCCAUUUCUCCGCUCUUCCAAAGCCAAAGCAGCAGCCUCAGUUCUGUAGAAGCUUUGAAAAAGCAGAUGAGUUUUCUGGAAAAAAAUUUUGCAUAUUGACUGCUAUAAAGCCUACCAACUUAGAGAAAGAGAAACUGAGAUUCUUCAAGUCUGACUAUACCUACAAUCCACAGUUUGAGUAUGCUAAUCCUGCUCUGCCAAGUGUGUUAGCCAAACACAGCAACGCAUCUAACCGAUUUCUUAAGCAGGUUUCUUAUGAAGAUGUGGAUCGUUUAAAAGGAUUGGCAGUUACUGAAAACAUGAGGGUCCCUCACUUCCUGCAAGACUAUGACCGGUAUAUGGAACACUUAGAGAAGAUCAUGGAAGUGAAUGAACUGACUGACAGAGAACUGAAAGACCUCAUAUAGUAAUUAGCAUUCUUGCAAACAUAGUUCAGCUAUACCUCCAUAUAUAUUACCAAUUAGGUGCAGUUAGCACCAACAGAUUUAUAAAAGAAGAAUGAGUUUUUACUUGAGUUUUCUGAAGAAUAGUCUUCAGAAUUUGGCUGAAUUUUUAAGUUAAACAAACCUUAAAUUAUUUCCCCAAAAUGUUUCUAUAGGCUUCAGAGGAAAGUUAACUCUUAUUUUCAUUUGAAUCUCACCAGAGUCAAAUGAAAAUACUACUGCUGAGUGUUUUUGGAGACUGUUGGUUGAAUCAAGUAAUAAACUGAGCACUGAGGCUAGCUCCUACUGGAGAGAGGUGAAUUUCAGGCAGUGCCAUGCUGACUCCAAGGUCAUAUUAUUCUCCUUUGAAAAAUUAGUUUGUGACACUCUAGAAGGCUAACUAUAUCUAAGAUUUCUUGUUUCUCCUGUAUGUUAAGUAAUGUUAAAUGGAGGGGAGAAAACAAUUUGAAAAGUUUUCAUUAAGUCCUUUAUUUAUUUCAUGCACUAUUGUUUUAUCUUCUCAGUUUAUAAUAACUAAAUUGAGUCUUUUUUGGUGGUGGCAAUGGGGAUUGGACCCAGGACCUCACACAUGCUCAAUACAUAUAUGCUUUGCCACUGAGCUACGCCUCCAUGUGCCCCUCCUCUGAGAAUUGCCUUUUUUUUUUAAAUCUAGUUAUAUCUCUUGACUAGACUCUGUUUUCAUUUGAUGAAAUAUUGUGCCCCUUUAAAUAUUUAGCAAAGUUUUAAGGUCUUUCCCUCUGCAUAAUUUUAUAUAAAUAAUUAAUAAAAGCUCCAGAGUUGUUUGUCUAUACAAAUCAAAAUAGUUGGAGAAGGGAAAAGCCACUUACCUUUUUUGGAAUAUGUAACAAGGAAGAGACAGAUAGACUAAGCUGUUUGUAAACUUGACCAUGCUCUGAAAAAUGAAAUUUCUAGGCACUCUUAUCUGAUGAACCAGACCUGUGAUAUUGGCUCAAUAUAAAAAUCUUAGCAAAAAUCAAUAUUUUAUGUCAAAUCAGUAUCAAUCAAUAUUAAAAUCUUUGAUUUCAUCAACCAAUAAUAACAUAGUUUGAAUUUAAAAAUGGGAGUUCUGUUUUGCUAUAUUUCUCCUGCUAUUGGCUUAUAUAUUUAACUUUGUAACUGAUCCGUUUCAGUAUAUAUUAGUGUGUGUGUGUGUGUGUGUGUGUGUGUGUAUGUGUGUAUCCACAUACGUAUACACACUUGGUUUAAAAUGGUUCUUCAUACAGCUUAUUGUAAUGAAUAGAAAUAAUGUUGCCAUAAAUACCCCAAUCAAUAUUGAUACUGUGAUUUCUACCAAAAGCUGUCUGAGAGUUUAUUUUUACCUCAGUUUAGGAUAAAAUAUGGUGCUAAUAGUAGUAGAUACAUACUGCAAAGCCUGGUCCACAUUCAUGCUGGAAAAUGAUUUUAGGAAAUUUUUCACAGGGUAGGUUAUGUGAUUUCUCUCUUCCAUAUAUCUGGAAGGGCUUGUCUGAAAGAAGAAUGUUGCAGCAAACAGGAUAUAUGUAGCUGGUGCCUGGGGCUUCUUGCAAAGCCAUGCAUUUCACCUUUGGCAGGAGAGGGCCAGACCCUUUGGAGCAUUGAAAGCCCCCCUCCCCAGCUUCAUGCCAUGCUAGCUGCCAGAUAUCCUGCACAUCCGUUCAAGAGGCUUGCAGCACUGGCAGCAGAGUGUGCCAACUCCUAUCAGACACUGGGAAUUUAUUCUUAACACCUCAAGCGUUUGUCUCCUUGUUAACAGAGUCGUGUGUACUUUCAGCUUUGUGUAGUGUUUUCUGACUUCAUCUGAAAAUGUAUUGAGGGUGUUUGUGAAACAGUAUAAGUACAGACAGAAAUGGCAAUAUUUAUGACCCGUGAUUUAAGCCCAAAUGCUUGUAAAUUCAACUUUGCAGGCACUUCUGAUCUUACAGUUUAAAUACAAAGGAAACUGUAGCAGCCUUAAUUUCCCAUUGGAAGGAUAACAUGCAGGGCUUCUAGUCCCUGGAUUUUAAAGUAGGUGGAUAGUCUCUCUGAUUUGAAAAGGAACUCUUGCCUUAUUGCUUUGGAAUAGAGAUGAAAACAUGAGCAUUCUGCAGACAAAAAUGACCUUAAAUCACAGUGAUUAAAAAAGUUUUAAGUUAGCAGUGAACCAAAAGUAGUUUCAAAUUAGCAGAGAUAGUUGAAGAACAUUAAGCUUUAAAAGUUGAGAUUGAAGAUUAAAUAAACCUUUAUUAAUUCUCUUUCUUGAAGUAGAGAAAGGUCAGUUUUGCUCCCUAAAACAAAAGUUUUACUCAACAGAAAAUUAUCAACAGUACUUGGUUAAAGAUUGCAUUAAUUUUAAUUGUAAUAGUUAUUUGCUAUAGGCUAUUGAUAAUUAAGAUUUCAUUAGUUUUAUCUACUAUAAUUCUGACAUAUAGUUGGAUCAAAUACAAAUUUUGAUAAACUGUUACAUUUUAACACCAGUUGGAUUUAAAGUAAAAUUAAGGUUUGCAAACAAAUCCAUAGUCCUCAUUUCUUUAUAUUUUCACUUUUGUAAAAGUGCUUAAAAUUUGUAUUGUUUGUUUUGUAUAUCUUUGGGCAUUUUGUGUCUAUCUAUAGUAAAAAGAGGUAGCACUGAAGUCCUCAAAUGAAGUAUAUGGAUAUGUAUGCAUGUACACUUCUGUUCUUUGAAAAUCUAAUUAUAUUUUUUAUUGUGGCAAUUCUUGUUUUUUUUAUUGUGUGAUAAUUAUUGAAAAAAGACGUCAGUAAAUCUU